CUCGCUUUAGUUUAAUAAGAAUGAAGGUUUUGGGGACCUUCGGUCUCCAUGGAGAGGCAAGA
rnacentral:tRNA from 1 species